GAUUUCAACAAAAGGGAAUGAAAUUUUUGAAAAUGCUGGAAGAGAGUGCUGGAAAUGGCAUUCAGGAAUCAGGAAAUUGGAAUGAGUUGAACGGACUGAAGUCGCAUUGUCUACCUUCGUACCAUUUAUCAAUGAAAAUGAAGAUAUUGAGAAGAUGAUUAAGAAAAGCUAUAAACACUAUGACCGCAUGACCCUAACAUGCAUAAUGAUAAAUAUAUACGCAUGAUUCUUAAACGUACAUUACCGUAUUUUAUAAAUUAUAAAUUUAUGCAAUAUAAAAUUGUUUCACUCGUGGUUGCGUGUAAUUUCUUUACUUAAAUCCGAAUUUUUUCCUAAUCUGUUUGGUCGACUCACUUUACUCGCAUUUUGAGUGAAUUUACUCAAAAGUAUGUGUUACUGUGGACGCAUUCACUUUACUCUAGUAUUUGAGUAAAUCUACUCAAGCAGAAUGAGUAAAUUUACGCAAAAGUAUGUGUUACUGUGGACGCAUUCACUUUACUCAAGUAUUUGAGUAAAUCUACUCAUAUUUGAGUAAAUCUACUCAAGCAGAAUGAGUAAAUUUACGCAAAAG